rnacentral:rRNA from 1 species
GACGAACCGUCCAAACGUUAUUCGGAAUUACUGGGCUUAAAGGGUGCGUAGGCGGCGCGGAAAGUUGGGUGUGAAAUCCCUCGGCUCAACCGAGGAACUGCGCCCAAUACUACCGUGCUUGAGGGAGAUAGAGGUGAGCGGAACUUAGGGUGGAGCGGUGAAAUGCGUUGAUAUCCUAAGGAACACCGGUGGCGAAAGCGGCUCACUGGAUCUCUUCUGACGCUGAGGCACGAAAGCGAGGGUAGCGAACGGG